rnacentral:rRNA from 1 species
UACGGAGGGUGUAAGCGUUAUCCGGAUUUACUGGGUUUAAAGGGUGCGUAGGCGGAUAGGUAAGUCAGGGGUGAAAUCUUCGAGCUUAACUCGGAAAUUGCCUUUGAUACUAUCUAUCUUGAAUAUUGUGGAGGUAAGCGGAAUAUGUCAUGUAGCGGUGAAAUGCUUAGAGAUGACAUAGAACACCUAUUGCGAAGGCAGCUUACUACGCAUAUAUUGACGCUGAGGCACGAAAGCGUGGGGAUCAAACAGG